CACCGCUCCCAUCCCAUUCUCUUCUCCAGUAUCAACAACACACAGACCACCGCUCCCCAUCCUAUUUUCUUCUCCGGCAUCAACACACAGAUUUUAGGAAGACAGAGAGGAGCAAGAGAGAGACAAAGUUUUAGACAGGUAGAGAGAGCUGAGCGAAGGUGGUGGACGAACGGGUGGUGGUCUCCGUCCGGCCACCGACCGGUGGUGAUGGUCCGGUGGAUUUGACGCAGCAAACAACGGUAGAAGGCGGUGGUGCUUAACGGUUCCGCUGUGACACUAUGGCGACGACAAACCUCCCUUUAGACUACUCCUUUCUUUUGCCAGAUCUGAAGGUUCUGGUGUACGGCGAUGGUGAAGGUUCUGGUGCACGGCUGUACUGGCGAUCGUUCUGGGGAGAUCUUAGUGGGUGACGGAGGAUAGUAGCUGGAAGUCUGACAUUGAUUUGAAUGAAUUGAAUGCUUCGUACCAAUGCCAAACACAGGUCAAGCAAUAGCUUUUCAAUUUGUUUUCUCAUAUAUAAUUUUAGAACUGAAAUAUUCAUAAAAAAGUCAACUUCCAUGUAUCAUUACUAACUUCAUAGCUUUAUAUGAAUGUAUAUGUAAAGCUUCUUACUCGCAUAUUCAAGUUCGCUUAGAAAUUUUGUUUUCUCAUAUAGAGUUUUAGAACAAAAAGAUUCAUUAAAAACAAUCAACUUAAUUUUCGUAGUUGAAAAUUCCCAAUUGUUGUUGCUUUCUUUAUGAAAACUAUAACGCUCUCUGCCUCAACCGCAUUACUCUGCUGCAACUCUAAGGCCAGGUUGGGUCCCAGUGACAAAUUAACAGGUGCAUGUGGGCGAGAUAUGGAUUCAGGCAGCCCUACUUUUUGGGCCGACAUGCUAAGUACUAGCUACGAGGACAUGAUAAUCAAGCACGGAUACAACGAUGCCAAGAUACUACUAGACCUGAUCACUUGCAAAACCGGUGAACCAAUGAUGUUUCGCUAGGUAACUGAUGUUGUUGUGAACAAGGUAACUGAUAUAAUGGCUGACCCUUCAAUAACGACCGGAACUCAUGUCAUGACUACUGAACCGCAAGCCCUCCUGUUACCCCAACCAACACCAGACGCCAAGAACAUUGCAACAAAAAGACGGCUACAAGAUUCACCAGCUUGGAUAAUAUUUGGAUAAAAUAUGUAAACAACAAGUGCAUGUACUUUGGAUCAAAUACAGUAUAGUCGGCGCCGACCUUUUGUAUAUCUCAAGAAAACUAAAUCGUUCUCCAAGCCAUUUUGUAUAUUGUAAGAAGAACUUUUGUAAAGAACAACUACAUGUACUCUGGAUCAACUGUCGUAUAACCAGCACCAAACUUUUGUGUAUUGUAACACUACUUUUGUAUCAUGUCUCCGAAUUCUAUUUUACACGUUAAUAACUUUGCAAAACUGUCGCAACACGCGGGUCCUUCUUACUCGAU